rnacentral:lncRNA from 1 species
CCGAGUAGAAAUCUGGAGCCCUGAAUACUCCGCGUUCUGAAAAAGGACAUCUGUGAUAAGAUGGAACUUGGCACCAGUAACUCAUGUACUAUGGGUGAAGCAUGCUCAGAAGAGGCAGACCCAGAGAAUUAUAGGGGAAGGGAAGAAGAAACAGAACGAUAGAGGCAAAAUCAUGCAGAUAGCAGCUACCACUGUGGUAACCUCGCAGCGUCAGAAGUUGUCGAGAGGUGAAAUU